rnacentral:tRNA from 1 species
GGGGAUUUAGCUCAGUGGUAAAGCGCUUACCUAGAAAGCAAGGCCCUGGGUUCGGUCCCCAGCUCCG